UUCUUUAUUCUAUGGUCUCACCACGACCUACUGUGUGGGUAUCACUAUGCGACCGCUGCGAGUCUGUCUUAUCGUUUCAUUCGGCGUCACUUCUGGCGGCGUUGGAUUUUCUUGAGGUGCUGCAGGCUGCAUGAUCUCGUGAGGGACAGGCGGAGAGGCUGCCAGUUGGGCUGGGGUCCCUUCCGAUGAAUGGAGCAGCAGGUGUCGACGAUUACGCUGAAGGACACCUCUGGGGGUCUGAACAAGCAUUGAGCCAUUCCAGCAGUCCAGCAAAUCCAGAGGGUGCAGUUACGUGAAAGCUACCACCACCGCAGUAACUCCUGUGCCUAGGAGAUGGAUAAAUUCUGAUCUGAAAUCUCA